GUUAGGAAUAUUGGACAAUGGGCGCAAGCCUGAUCCAGCCAUGCCGCGUGAACGAUGAAGGCCUUCGGGUUGUAAAGUUCUUUAGCCGAUGAUUAUAAUGACUGUAGUCGGAAAAUAAGCCCCGGCUAACUUCGUGCCAGCAGCCGCGGUAAUACGAAGGGGGCGAGCGUUAUUCGGAAUCACUGGGCGUAAAGCGUGCGUAGGCGGUCUCGUAAGUUAGGAGUGAAAGCCCAGGGCUCAACCUUGGAAUUGCUCUUAAAACUGCAAGGCUAGAAUCUCGGAGAGGAUAGCGGAAUUUCCAGUGUAGCAGGGAAAUGCGUAGAUAUUGGAAGGAACACCAGUGGCGUAAGCGGCUAUCUGGACGAGUAUUGACGCUGAGGCACGAAAGCGUGGGGAUCAAACAGGAUUAGAUACCCCGGUAGUCC
rnacentral:rRNA from 1 species